rnacentral:sRNA from 12 species
CAUUAAGAGGCUAUCUCUGUCGUUACCCACUACAUGUGGAUACGGGAAUAUAGCUGUUAA